rnacentral:lncRNA from 1 species
UCACACCUAAAAUCUUUCAAGAACAGAAUGCUUAUAAAGCUUAGAAUAAGUUGGAGAAAAGAAAGAGAAUAAAGAAAAAAAGUUUAAAUUGCUUCGUCUCCAUUAAAUCCUGGCUCAAAAUUGAAGUAGUGUUUUAAGAGAGUUACCUGGAUACCGGAAAGAAAAUGUCAGCAGGGAGAGGGACUGAAAUUCAACAACAAAACAGCAACACAACAGAAGCAAAGCAGCAGUAAAUCCGUGUUUAAACAGCCCGAAAACUUAGAAGAGAAACCCAGAAACGAAUUCUAAAGAAUGCUUAUACAUUUCUAAUAGUUUGCACUCUAAAAUUCACUCCUAAAGCUCACCCUUUCAGCUUACUUUCUUUAAGUUCAGCUGCUGAUUUUUACUAUUCAAAUUGUGUUUUUUUAGUAUGCAAAAUGUCCAGAUGCAAAAUGUCCAGCUAAUGUAUGGUAGAGUGUUUUCCCUUUGUGUGUGAAAAAUGAUCUCUUUAAAUAG